rnacentral:rRNA from 1 species
UACGUAGGGUGCGAGCGUUUAAUCGGAAUUACUGGGCGUAAAGCGAUGCGCUAGGCGGUUCGAGUCGGUUGUCUGACUGUGAAGACCCCGGGCUCAACCUGGGAAUGGCAUUGGAAACUGGCGGACUAGAGUGUGGCAGAGGGGGGUGGAAUUCCGCGUGUAGCAGUGAAAUGCGUAGAGAUGCGGAGGAACACCGAUGGCGAAGGCAGCCCCUGGGCUAACACUGACGCUCAGGCACGAAAGCGUGGGGAGCAAACAGG